rnacentral:rRNA from 1 species
AUUGAACGCUGGCGGCAGGCCUAACACAUGCAAGUCGAGCGGAGCGGCGGCGGGGUGCGUAAUGCCUAGGAAUGUGCCUGGUAGUGGGGGAUAGGGUCAGCAACCGGGCGCUAAUGCCGAUUACUAUCAGCUGCGCCUAGGUCGGAUUAGCUAGUUGGUGGGGUAAAGGCCUACCAAGGCGACGAUCCGUAACUGGUCUGAGAGGAUGAUCAGUCACACUGGAACUGAGACACGGUCCAGACUCCUACGGGAGGCAGCAGUGGGGAAUAUUGGACAAUGGGCGAAAGCCUGAUGCAGCCAUGCCGCGUGUGUGAAGAAGGUCUUCGGAUUGUAAAGCACUUUAAGUGGGGAGGCGUUACUAGCAGAAUAAGCACCGGCUAACUUCGUGCCAGCAGCCGCGGUAAUAC